UGGGGAAUAUUGGACAAUGGGCGCAAGCCUGAUCCAGCAAUGCCGCGUGAGUGAUGAAGGCCUUAGGGUUGUAAAGCUCUUUCGCACGCGACGAAGAUGACGGUAGCGUGAGAAGAAGCCCCGGCUAACUUCGUGCCAGCAGCCGCGGUAAUACGAAGGGGGCUAGCGUUGUUCGGAAUUACUGGGCGUAAAGGGCGCGUAGGCGGCCUGUUUAGUCAGAAGUGAAAGCCCCGGGCUCAACCUGGGAAUAGCUUUUGGAUACUGGCAGGCUUGAGUUCCGGAGAGGAUGGUGGAAUUCCCAGUGUAGAGGUGAAAUUCGUAGAUAUUGGGAAGAACACCGGUGGCGAAGGCGGCCAUCUGGACGGACACUGACGCUGAGGCGCGAAAGCGUGGGGAGCAAACAGGAUUAGAUACCCUGGUAGUCCACGCCGUAAACG
rnacentral:rRNA from 1 species